AUACUUACCUGGCAAGGCAGAUACCAUGAUCAUGAAAGUGGUUUUCCCAGCAUGAGGCUCAUCCAUUGCACUUGAGGUGUGCCGAUCCCUGUAAUUUCCCCAAAUGUGGGGAAAUCAACUGCAUAAUUUGUGGUAGUGGGGAACUGUGUUUGUGCUUUACCCUG
rnacentral:snRNA from 1 species